UACAGAGGGGGCAAGCGUUAUUCGGAAUUAUUGGGCGUAAAGCGCGCGUAGGCGGCUUGCCAAGUCAGAGGUGAAAUGCCGGGGCUUAACCCCGGAACUGCCUUUGAAACUGGCUGGCUAGAGACUUGGAGGGGAUAGCGGAAUUCCUAAUGUAGCGGUGAAAUGCGUAGAUAUUAGGAGGAACACCGGUGGCGAAGGCGGCUCACUGGCUCGUUUCUGACGCUCAGGCGCGACAGCGUGGGGAUCAAACAGG
rnacentral:rRNA from 1 species